rnacentral:rRNA from 1 species
AUUGAACGCUGACGGCAUGCCUUACACAUGCAAGUCGAACGGUAACGGGCCUUCGGGUGCCGACGAGUGGCGAACGGGUAAGUAAUAUAUCGGAACGUACCUUUCAGUGGGGGAUAACGUAGCGAAAGUUACGCUAAUACCGCAUAUUCUGUGCGCAGGAAAGCAGGGGACCUUCGGGCCUUGCGCUGAUUGAGCGGCCGAUAUCAGAUUAGCUAGUUGGUGAGGUAAAGGCUCACCAAGGCGACGAUCUGUAGCGGGUCUGAGAGGAUGAUCCGCCAAACUGGAACUGAGACACGGUCCAGACUCCUACGGGAGUCAGCAGUGGGGAAUUUUGGACAAUGGGGGCAACCCUGAUCCAGCCAUGCCGCGUGAGUGAAGAAGGCCUUCGGGUUGUAAAGCUCUUUCGGCCGGGAAGAAAUCGUAUGGGCUAAUACCCUGUGCGGAUGACGGUACCGGCAUAAGAAGCACCGGCUAACUACGUGCCAGCCGCCGCAGUAACAC